GUCUCAGGGAGGUUUGUGCUGCGUGUAGGGAAGCGCGAUGCUUGCUGUAUGUUGACCGAUGGAAGUAUAAUUCAAGUUUCUAACUUUGCAUAUGCAAAAACAUCCGGAGCUCCCCAAGUUGUGGGACGGAAGUUCCUCGAUGUUUCUGACUUUUACACACAACCGUGCAAGUCAUCCAUGAUUGGCAUCCACCUUGUGUCACUGCUAUCAGCUGUCCAGCGAUGGCCACUCGAGUGCAUCUCAUCUAAGUGUUUAAAGCUGCCAUUCAGAGGCCAGGCUGUUGUCUUUCCACUCCUUCAUAUGACUCCCCAGUGAUAAACUGUUCGGCAUCCUCCGAUAUCCACACGAGAACAAUGUUGUUGCUGUCAUUCACAAACACUGGCUUAAAGAUGGCUUUUGCAUGUGGCCUCCGAAGGUCUCGUCAAGCAGGUUAGCACAAAUGGUCAAGAAUGGUGUGCAGCCUGAUGCCACGUGGAAAAAACUAACCUAUGUGGAACUUGGCUGGUUCUCAUCCUAUGAGGAAGCUCGCAGAAAACUUCCAAUGGCAGAGGUGACGUCCGACCUGCAGAGCGACACAGAUUUGG